rnacentral:rRNA from 1 species
AGCGCGGGGCAACCUGGCGGCGAGUGGCGAACGGGUGAGUAAUAUAUCGGAACGUACCCUGGAGUGGGGGAUAACGUAGCGAAAGUUACGCUAAUACCGCAUACGAUCUAAGGAUGAAAGUGGGGGAUCGCAAGACCUCAUGCUCCUGGAGCGGCCGAUAUCUGAUUAGCUAGUUGGCGGGGUAAAAGCCCACCAAGGCAACGAUCAGUAGCUGGUCUGAGAGGACGACCAGCCACACUGGAACUGAGACACGGUCCAGACUCCUACGGGAGGCAGCAGUGGGGAAUUUUGGACAAUGGGCGCAAGCCUGAUCCAGCAAUGCCGCGUGAGUGAAGAAGGCCUUCGGGUUGUAAAGCUCUUUUGUCAGGGAAGAAACGGUGGGGGCUAAUAUCUCCCGCUAAUGACGGUACCUGAAGAAUAAGCACCGGCUAACUACGUGCCAGCAGCCGCGGUAAUACGUAGGGUGCUAGCGUUAAUCGGAAUUACUGGGCGUAAAGCGUGCGCAGGCGGUUUUGUAAGUCUGUCGUGAAAUCCCCGGGCUCAACCUGGGAAUUGCGAUGGAGACUGCAAGGCUAGAAUCUGGCAGAGGGGGGUAAAAUUCCACGUGUAGCAGUGAAAUGCGUAGAUAUGUGGAGGAACACCGAUGGCGAAGGCAGCCCCCUGGGUCAAGAUUGACGCUCAUGCACGAAAGCGUGGGGAGCAAACAGGAUUAGAUACUCUGGUAGUCCACGCCCUAAACGAUGUCUACUAGUUGUCGGGUCUUAAUUGACUUGGUAACGCAGCUAACGCGUGAA